GGAACUGCAGCAGCAGCAGCCCAACAUGCCGUGCAGAGCUCAGCCAAGCUGCAUCCUCACCGACUCCUGUUCCCAAAAGGAAGAAGUCCCUUUUAUUGAUAAAAUGUUGCCCUGGUGCCAGUAGUCUAACGGGUUUUAAAUAAAGCAACAUUUCAGUCGGUUUUGCCAUUGUGAAAAAGAGUUUUGGAAGCCUGGUACUUCUUUGCAGUGACAGAGAUGUCAGAGGAGCUGGAGGAACUAUGGACAGGAAAGCAAACCUAGAGAUGUACAAGGACAGCUAACAUGAAGAUGGCAGAGGAAUAGAAUGAAAGGCAAAAGAGAAACCAAAGGGAAACUGAUGGAAUGCCAAGUGCUUUUUCUAUAAUUUAAGAGUGUAAUUAAAAAGGCUGAUAUGCAAAAUUCUCAGGAGAAACAACAUGUGCAUCACUAUAAGUAAAUAUUCUCCUAAAAUAUCUUAAACAGCAAAAGGAUAAGAAAGGAGCAGAAAUUAAACAAAACUGAGGAAGAAUUGGUACACAUGUAAUUCAGAGUCCCACAACAUGUAUACAUCCUAGUGAGGAGGAAUAGUGAAGGACAUGCCUUUAAAUGAGUUGCAGCUAGUAGUAAAUAUAACACAUACAGUGACUCACUGUUAACAAACUUUUCCUGUACUAAUUUAAUCAAAAUAUUUCACAAUACUGUUAGAAUUAAUAGGUAAUUUCACCAGAUAAUUUAAAUUAACCUAAUAGACAAAAAAGUAUGUUUUUUUUAUUUGAGUAGUUAGUUUUAUAAAGGCAAAUCAGUUUCAGCCUCUUAGAUACAAAAUAAACCAAAUUUAGAUGGCUUGACAGAAUCCCUUUUUAUUUAUUUAGUUAGUCUAAAAAGGAAAUAUUUGUUAGUAUUUAGACAGAAAAAAGCACAAAAAAAUAUUGUCUUUGGGUGAUUCAAUAUGGCAUGGGGCAACAUUUUUAUUAAAAUAUAUUAAUAAUAAAUAAACAUUUUAUUACAAUUCUGAUAUGCAAUGAAUUCCAAAGAAAUACAAAAGGGUAUUCACGGCAUUUUUUUUUUCCAGCACAGGUUAGUAAUCUCAAAACAAAGCAUUUUCACAAAUCUUGUUUAUAAUAUGUUAGAACUCUAUCCAUUUAUGCUCUUUAAAGCUUUUUGGGCUGCUGUUAUUAGAGAAAUUAUGUUGCUUCUAUUUAAAUACAUUUAAACAUAAGUGUAAUGCUUGCCAGAAGAUACCUGAAUUAGCUUUAAAAAAUUCUGACAUGGCACUUAGGGCUUUGCAGAAAUACGAGCUUGGGGUCCACCCCACACAUUUACAGAGCAACAAAUUACAGACAGCCCCUCUCCAGCCCAAUAUGGACACCAAGGAACACUGCAAAGGCUUUGACAAAAUGAGAAACAAUUCCUUAUCUCCUGUUCAGCUGUCUUACAUCAUCCCUACCUUCAAAACUAUCUGACAACAAUGACCAAAGAAGCCAGCAUGUUUUACUCUUCUAAGAGUUUUGGUAUGUCACUUUUUCAUCAGUUGUUACCUCUGUAUGUGGCAAAAAUGUAAAAAGUACCUUUCUCAACUAUUAGAAUGAAGGAAUCCAUGACUUUCUUUAAUGUAUAUCCUAAAAGAGUAUGAGGAUAAUUUAAUUUCUGACAUCUUAUGCUCAUUUCUCAUCCCCAUUUAGAAAAAAAAAAAUAGAGGGAAUUUUAAUGCAGCAUGCAAGAAGACUGAAAAAAGAGUUCUGAUCAUUUUCAUUUCCAUAUAUUUAUGUAGCUUUCUUUAUUUUUGUAUUUUAAUAAAACCAAACUAUAAUAUCAGGUGUCAAAUACAUGUUUUGAACAUGUCCUUGGAUUGAAAUAUUACAUCCACUAGCAGUUAUCAAUCCUUAAACAUUCACAUAUCAGUAUUUGUAACAUUAAGCAUUUUGAAGUUUCAGUUCCUCCAAAUAUAAAUGGAAAUAAACACAUCUCCAAGUUCAUCAGCUGCUAUCUGACCUUAAUUAUCAUGCAGUAUGAGCUAUUGAUGUGGCUCACUUAUUCUUCCUCUAUAUAUAUUCUACUAAACAACAAUAUAAAAAUCCAACCUGACUUGAACAGAAAUAACUGCAAAUAAGUAAGAGGAAAAAUAAGUGAACACUACCAAAUUUGACAUAAGGAGGAAUAAAGGAAGAAGAAGAAAUGGCAGUUCUAAGGUGAGGUUUGAGUCUAAGGAUGCCUGUCAGUGUUUAAGAGGCAUUUGGACAAUGCCCUUAUUAAAAGCUCUAACUUUUAGUCAGCCCUGUACUUAAGUGGCCAGGCAGUUGCAUUAGAUGUCUGGUUUAAGUCCCUUCCAACUUAAAUACUCUAUUUUAUAAAUGUAUUCUGCCACUACCAGGAAAAUAUGGCUUGCAUAUAAGGUUUAGUUUUAGCCAGAUACCAUUUUUUCUAGAUACAUCAUGUUUCUCCAAAUUUUCAGUAGCUAAUUCUUUUCCAUGGCUGUAUAACACCAAGACUUUAUAACAAUGUCCUGCCAGUUAGGGGUCAUUUCCUAACAAAUGCAAAUCCACUACUGUGUGUUAUAAAAAGGCUUAGAGCUGUCACAGAGUUUCUGAGCUUGUUAUAAACACCUCAAGAUAAAGUAUGUCAGUGCUAAGGUAAAAUGAAAGGUAGGAAUAUAGAUAGAAAUGAGAAUUCAAAACAAAGAGGAACAGUAAAAUCUAUCUAUGAGAAGAUAUUUUCUCUCCCACCUGCACAAUGUCUCUUUCUGCAAAUCUUCCUCUUGAAGAAAUCCUCACUACAUCCCCAUCCAGUUCUUCCAUAGCUUAAAAGAAAAUAAAGAAAAAAGUCCUAUGAGUUCAGGUACACAAUAAAAUCAUCUUAAUGAGAAAAAGUUCAGACAACUUACACUUUUGAACAAUAAAAAACCCAACAAUUCUUCUUUAGCUAACUCUGUUAAGAUCCUUUGCAUCAGAAAAUACAAAAUGUUUUGUAGCUGUUUUGCACAUUUUCAUGGUGACAAUAUAUACUUUUAUCUUUAUUGUCACCUUCAGAAAAUAACAGACUAUGACAAAGUUUUUAUCCUUUCAUCGCUCAAAGCAGCAAGCAUGUCUGAUUUUGUAGAGCAAUAUAUAUACUUUCAGAGGUGGAGAAGAAUUCAUCUUCAGCAGCUAUUGUUACAGAAUAUAUCAGAGGAUACAGCAUAGAGAAGUAAUAACUCACAUUCACAUUGAAAAAGCAGUAUCUUCUAAUGCUAAGGAAUGAGGAGCGCUUAAAAAAAAAGUCAAAUUUAUUGGGCAUUUCUUCUUGUAUCUUCUGAGCAGGAUACAGGAAAGCUCUGUUGUCCAGAUACCUGGAAGCUACUCUAGGUAGAAAGAUGCACCUGCUCUCUUGUCAGUGUUGAAAUCUGGGAUCUGAGAUCCCAGAUUAUUGCUGAGAUGUUGGUUCUGCAGCUCUACAAACCUUCUUUCAGUGUGUGCUAUGGAAACCAAAGCCCUGCACCUCAGCAUCUCAGGGGUUUACAAACUGGUUUACAAAUUUACUAAAUUCACUGAAACCAGCACUUCAAACCCUAAUUCUUCUGAAGCAAGAACCAGAAAGUAUAAAUGACACCAUCAGGAGCCAAGCUGAACAGAGUGUAUUUGUUCAAAGAAAAAAAUCAGUAGGUCUGCAGAGCAUGUUGCCUGGUGAUGCUGUUGCAAAAACGUACAUGUGUUCAAACCAGGAGACUGAACAAGUAUUUGAAGGAGUUUCACAACAGAAUUUCCAAAACAGACAAAGACAUCCUGCCCAGGAAACUCCAACUGAAAACCAGUAUUCAGGGAAAUAUCCUAUUUGCUUAGUCGGUUCUUAACAUUCUCUAGGGAGCUACCCAUGGCCAUGUCAGAUACAGAAUACUGGGCAAAAAUGCUUCUGUUGGGACCUGUUACAGUCAUCCUCUCAUUCUUUAAGUGAAGCUCUGCCAAAUGUAUGUGUCAUCUACCCAAGAUUCAAACUUUUAAGAACCCCUCUGGUAUCCCCCAGGAGCUGGGAGAUCUAGGGAACAGGGAGAUCUGAAGAGAAGCAGCCAGAGGGCAGAACUGAAGCUCCAGGGGCACUGGAAUGUCCAGACUCCCUAAACAUCACGCUCCUGCAGGCACACUCCUUCAGCAUGCACAGCAGACAUGGAAUCUGUGGUUUAUUCCAGAAGGAAUUUCUGUAAAUGGAUGUAAUUCCUCUGUCCUCUUGGGCACUGAGGGACCACAGAUUUGGCACACAGCUCAGGGUGAAUCUCCCUGAGGCAGACACACCAGGAUUGUGGCUGCAAAGAUGGAAACUGCAUCCUGCAGUACAAACAGAAUCCCAACUUCAGGAAAGGGGGAGGGUGGACACCCCAAGAACAUGUCCUGACUGAGAAAGGGAGCCUGGGCAAAUCCAAGGACUAGACAAACAGGAAGAAAGGGAAAAUGCAAUGGAGAGGUCAGAGAAUGGUAAGUAACACAGGACUAUGCUGGAAUUCUCAGGAGUAAAAAUGAAGUUUACAAAUUUCCAUCAUAUGCACUUAUUGAUAAAACCUGUCCUUUCUCACUGAUUGUGACAUACAAUCAUCUGAAGUGUAAAGUGUUCAC